UACGUAGGGGGCAAGCGUUGUUCGGAAUUACUGGGCGUAAAGGGCGCGUAGGCGGCACGGCAAGUCAGGAGUGAAAGCCCUGGGCUCAACCCGGGAACUGCUUUUGAAACUGCCGAGCUAGAAUGCGGAAGGGGCAACUGGAAUUCCCAGUGUAGCGGUGAAAUGCGUAGAUAUUGGGAAGAACACCUGAGGCGAAGGCGGGUUGCUGGGCCGACACUGACGCUGAGGCGCGAAAGCCAGGGGAGCGAACGGG
rnacentral:rRNA from 1 species